rnacentral:lncRNA from 1 species
CAUGAUUGAGAUAGUUAUUGCUAAUUAUAUCUGAUUUUUCCCAAUAGAUAUGCAAAACUUUAGGUUUAAUUCAAUUCGCCUUUACUAAUUUAGUUUUGUGUAAAUACACAAAACGUUGCAUAAAUAUAUUAUGCAUUUAAAACAUACAACAUUUCAAUUUACAGACGAAUGCAGUAGAAGUUACAUGAACACAUAUUAUUCCAGCUAUCAUGAAGACUUUAGGCACUUUUCCAUUGUUGUCAUUUGUAACUAUUGUUUGUUUCAACAACAAAUCAACAUCCUUCAUAGAUGGAGGCAAUCCUUCGGAAAUGGAGGCAAAGGUCUUACCAAAGAUAAACCGAGUGUCAAAUGAUGUGUAUAGAUAUUGAAUUUUCCUUUAAUAAUAAAUAAAUCAAUUUAUUUUACAUGAUUGAAAAAAAUAAAUAUUUAUAUAUUUUAUAUAAGAAUUUAAAUAGUUUGGAGGUUCUAUUCUAAUUUUCAAAAUAAGACUUUUAAUAAAAAGAAAAUGCAGUUUGGAGGUUCUAUUCUAGUUUAGCUGAAUCGCGAAAAUAGUCCCCCCAUUUUGUUUCUCCCCAAUUUUAAUCCCCAAAACAGAAUUUUAGUCUAAAAUUUGAUGAAAUUUUAUUUUUUAAAGUCGUACUACACCAUUUAUGAUCAUAUAUUUCAGGUGCAAUUGUUGCAAAUGAGAUCUUGAGAAAUUGUGUGACUUAAAUAAAUGCAAUAAAAAUGAAAUUGCAUGAAGUUUUGGACCAAAAUUCCGCUUAAGGGACCCAAACUAGGGAGAAACAAAAUGGGAGGACUACUUUCACGAUUCAGCUAAAAUAGGGGGACCAAAACUGCAAUUAAACUAAAACUUAAACUAUUUUAUUUAAAUUGUAAAUAACAUCUCAACAUAAUUUGAGAGGUUUUUAAGAAGAUUAGAGAUACGAUAAGAAGCUUUCAAACUUUUAAGAAGAUUUAGGUACGAAAAGAUGCUAUCAAAGAUUGGAACUUUGUUUGGUCCAUGAAAGAUGAAAGAUUGUGUAUCUAAAGCAGAGCCCACUCUUUUCCUUCGCUAUACGAUCCACAAAAAAAAAUUAUAUUCCUCAAAUUGUCUAAG